rnacentral:lncRNA from 1 species
CAUGUGAGCUUUAAUGGAUAGCACUUAACCCACACGUAUUGUUUUACAAUGAGCAGACAGGUACGACCGUCAAGAUGGCUUCUCCACCGUGACUCAAACAAGUUACUCCCAAAUCUCUUCUCUUCUCUGUCGCUAUUCAGAUCAUUUAUACCAUGGUGCUUUUCAACUCAGCCUCGGUUAAUUGAUUAGACUUACCUUGAUUCACCGGAAUUUUAAGCAAAAGACGCUUUUACCAAAAUGGAAAACCGAUCAUUUGUUGGACCGUAGAACGCCAACUCUUCUUAAUCGACUUCACAGACAGCCAAAGCAAUCCAUCACACCUCAUCUACUCUCAAUCAGAGAUGCUAUCCUCAACGCCAUAACAUGCUUACCAACAAGGAAGACUGAUUCUCCUAGAGGGAGAUAGUGAAUGGCAAAACGAAGGAGCCUUCUCAGAUUCUGACGGGAUAUUUAUGUAAAACAUGUGAAAGGCACUAGAUUCAAUCUCAUCAAGAUAAAAGAAACAGAGAUGAAGAACCCCUCGAAGAGAUUGAAAC